UGUAUGCUGCUAAAGAAGUGUUGGUCCUUUAUUAGGCCAGAACCUGGUGGUCCGGAGUCGAUGAUGAGAGAGUGAAAGAAGGAAAGAGGCUAAUAUUCCCUGGGUUACGCAGCCGGCUUUCGCGCUCCAGGGAAUUAGCCAGAAAUAG